rnacentral:rRNA from 1 species
CGUAACAAGGUUUCCGUAGGUGAACCUGCGGAAGGAUCAUUGCCGAUACUAUUUGAAGGGAGGGUCGACCUCCCUGAACCGACACCUUUCGUGCACUUGGGACUCUCUCGAGUCCCUCCCGUUAUGAAACGCCCGUUUUCUCGCGCGUAUUUGAAAACCCCCCCGGAAAGGGGAAAAAUUGAAACACAACUUUCAACAACGGAUCUCUUGGCUUUCGCAUCGAUGAAGAACGCCGCGAACGCGCGAAACGUAAUGUGAAUUGCAGAAUUCAGUGAAUCAUCGAAUCUUUGAACGCACCUUGCGCUCCUCGGCAUUCCGAGGAGCAUGCCUGUUUGAGUGUCGUGAAGUCUCAUCGGAAAGGGGGUCCCCUCUGUGGGUUUCCAUUUUCGGAAUUGGACGGUCUUUUGCCUCCUCGCCGGAGGCUCGUCUUCAAAUUCAUCGGCGAGGUUUCGAGUCCCCCCAUUGAAGACGCGUGAUAAGUCUCGCGUCGUCCCCGGGGAGACGCGCCCCCGCCCCCGUCACUCUAUUCUUUAACGCCUUGACCUCAAAUCAGGCAGGAUUACCCGCCGAACUUAAGCAUAUCAAU